GAUGAACGCUAGCUACAGGCUUAACACAUGCAAGUCGAGGGGCAGCAGGGAUUUAGCUUGCUAAAUUCGCUGGCGACCGGCGCACGGGUGCGUAACGCGUAUCCAACUUUCCCGUUACUCUCGGAUAGCCUUCCGAAAGGGAGAUUAAUACGAGAUGGUGUUUUAAUUCCGCAUGUUAUUAAAACUAAAGAUUCAUCGGUAACGGAUAGGGAUGCGUGACAUUAGAUAGUUGGCGGGGUAACGGCCCACCAAGUCCACGAUGUCUAGGGGUUCUGAGAGGAAGGUCCCCCACACUGGAACUGAGACACGGUCCAG
rnacentral:rRNA from 1 species